rnacentral:lncRNA from 1 species
GGAUUAAAGUUUUGCCCUCAUGAAUUUGGACAUGACCCCAGAUACUGUUUGUGUACUUUACUGGGAUUCCUUGGUACAGCUUUAUAAUUCUGGAAUGACUCUUACUGCUUCUGUCUUUGGAGCAUGGCUGUGCAUAUGAAGCUACUGAGAAGAGUGGCCAAAGCAAUUUGGAAGGAAUGACUCUUCACAAGAUUUAGUUCCGUCUCAUACUUCCAGGGCUGGUAAAAGGAAAUCUCUCAUUUCUAAAAGAGAAUUUCAGCUGUUCUGAAGCCUGCAGAUGCUGAAUAAGUACCUACAAGCAAAAAAAAAAAAAUCUUGACCUCUAUCUUCCUAUCUCAUUCUUCUUCAAGAUUGAGGACACCAAGAUAAGAGUAACUAAAAUAAUUCUCAGGGGCAUCAGCUUGAACAACAUCCAGUUUCAGAUCCUCUCCCUGCAGCAACACCCAGAGGUUUCCAGCAUUGUCCUAAACCUCGCAGACCACUCCGUGAUGAGAUCAACUUCUGAAGCAAGAACAGUCAUCUUAUGGGAACCAAAUUGCCCCUCAAACCAUGAUGAUUCCUCUUGA